UGUCAACACCACGUGAAGCCAUCACCUCCCUAUGCAUUUGCUCAUGGUGGUUCUCCUGCCAGGGCAUUCCCUCACUGCUCCCAGUCAUUGCAAAUCCUACUGCUUUCCAUGCUGUCUAAAUUUGGCUUCCUGGGCCAAAACUGAGUCUUGCCAAGCUCUGUUUUCAGACCACUUUGCUCCUGUCUAGGGCCUGAUGGAUCUGUCUAGAUUGAUCCCUGCCUCAGGUUUAUAACAAGAACAUUCUUUAAUGGGCUACAAUGAAGUUAAUAAGAAUUCUGAUUUCCACUGGUCACUUUCUCAGGAGAACUCAGAUUCUGUGGCAACAAUGAACACUACAAUAGAUAAGUACAGGGCUUUGAUAGAGCCUCCUGCACUCAAGAACACUGGCAACUCAGGACAUGGGCAGUGGGAAAGCAUCAGCACACAGUGCAUUUCUUAUUCCAAAGCCUCCGAAAAUAAGAAGAAAACAGCUCAGGGAGAGAGAGCACGUCAACCCCUCUGCAGAGACCACAACUUGCCUGAUUACCAGAAAGAAUACAAGUCAUUGUCUCUUAUGCAUGCAACCUGCAAUCCCAACAUCAAACGUGUGAAGGCUUGCCCCAUUAUUUCUUUUCAAAAUACGCCCAUUGUGUCAAGCUAUAUUUCUUUCAACCAGGGAGCAAAUGUCUCCAACACUGGUAGAAAGAGUUGGUUUUCUAAUUCAUUUUGCGGUCCACAGUGUUACUUUCCCCUCAAUUAACAUUUAUGCACACUUUUCUCCUAUUAGCUCUCAGCCUAGGAAUUAUUUAUUUUUUAAUAGUGCAAAAAGAUAUUCAUUCUGCCUUUUCCUCCCCAUGGUAAGGAAUGCAAUAGAGGAGAAAGACCAUUCAUUGGAUGCCCCUUGGCUCCCUCAAAAACUUUAAGAAUUUAAACCAUCUCCACCAGGCACGAAAAAUGCUCACUGAUGAGAAGCAUGAUAAGCAAGAAAAAAUUUAAAUACCAAAAAUAUGCCCACAGAGGGGCCAAGAGAGCUGCAUGACAUAUACACACAGACACUCAAACACAGACUUAAGCAAAAAUGGGUGCUCUGCCCAAAUAUAGCUAACCAAUACAUAUAUGUGGGAUCAAAGCCACCACGCUUCUAAAACUCAAAAUGAGACUGCACCCAACAAGCGGUUCAGGUGGAAGUAUGCAAGCCAGGGAAGACCACUGGCCAUGAUUUAGAAGCUGCCGGUGUUACUGACGAAGAAUCACCAGACCUGUGCUAAGGGACUUACAUGACCUCAUUCAGUCCCUGCCAUUCCUGGGAGGUGAGUGUUUUGACAAUUAGAUCGGCAGCAGUGGCACGGCUGGAAUCUAGACCUACGGCAUCCAGCCCUGGGCAUGUGCUCUAACAUUGAGCAGACCUCCUCUCAAGGAAAAACGAAGGAAAUCAUUCAUUCAUUCAUUCAUUCAUUUGCUUUCCUUUGCAAAUAUUCACUGCCUACAUGCUGGGAAAAGUUCCCUCUUGGUUCCUGACUUUUAAAAAAAAAAAAAAGGCAGUAACUGUGGACAUAUUCAUGGCUUCGCUGGAAGGCAGUGUAUGGUUGGAGGUUCCUGCCAUGCAGUCAGCACCCCACUUCCCUGCAGGUACUCAGAACCCUCCCACCUCCUUUCCCUCCCUCUAGAUUUGAGGAGGUGGCUGACCCAAGGAAAGAUUAUUCACUGUGUGGAAAGCAGCAGGCCAUUGAGAACACAGAGAUACGUUUCCACAAAACACAAAGCCAACUUUUCCUACAGAGAAUGACGUCAAAGCUCCAAAUCACUGAGCAAGAAAUUUAAGUAUCAGUGGUUAAAAAGAAGAAGAAGAAAUGACUUUGGCUGGAGACUAACUGUCAAAUCCUGGGCUGUGCAUGUUUCCUUCUCUGAGCUCUGCACAGUAGGGACUAUCAUUUUUCACUGUGUUAUGCUGAGGAAAUUGGGGCUUCAAAAGUGAACAAGGAAGGUCUUUCAGGUCAGAGUCCACUCUCAACGUCAGCUCUGCACGUGAUCCUGGACCAGGCAGCUGGUCUAGGUGCUACAGGGCAGAGGUCAAGGGACACUGAUGCCCCCAUACAACUUGAACUUGGAAUGAUCCCGUUCCUUCUAACCCACAGGCAAUGACCCAAUUAUCUCAAUGCAUAUUCAAUGCCUGAAAUUUCACAAUCAAAAAGAAAUGCAAAAUCUUCAGCCUACUAAGCUUAAUCUUAACAAUGGGAGUCCUAGAAUAUUUCAAUCAAAACUCAUUUAUGCUGUUUGCAUAGUAAGUAUUAUGUGUUUUCUUCUGCCUGUAGCCUCUGCUUUUCCAGGAGUCCUAGCACACAAGUCUGCCUGGAGGAAGAGGACAACAGCCCCUAUCAAUUUCAGGUAACUGAAGAGUCACUUCCCACUGGUCCUGAUUUUGAAAGAAGAGGGUGAGGAGGGAGAUUCAGGCUGGGUUAAGUCCUGACGUGGUACCGAAAGAGACCAUUUCAAAACAUCAGGAAAUGUCUCUGAUGCAUUAGCAAAUGGGACAUCUUACCACUUGGGCAGUAUCUACAUAUAUGAAACAAAGAGGAACUUCUGCCUGUGCAAUAAGACAGUGUCGGAAAAGCUUCAGUGACAGAGACAGACAAGAAGGAAAUGUGCAGUGAACAUUAGCUGUGGCUGUUGCAGCAUCCUUCAGUUCCUCAUCCAGCAGGAAGUGAGCAUGUACUGACUUGCCCAAUGGAUCUGGCCCUGGGACUCAGGCCCAGAGGGGCUCAUUGGACCUGCUAGGCUCAUAUCAAUUCCUGAAGAUCCUGUUCCACUGGGAACUUUCCUCAAGAAUUCACCCUAGGGCAUGGAUUCACUCCUAGCAUUGAAGGGACCCUGGGAUCUCAGCCCAGUUCCAGAGUCCCUUUCCUGGAAUUCAUGGGUCCAGAGAAGGGCCUUGCUCCUGAGAUGUGUGAGAAGGGCCAGGAUAGGAAGAUGUCACCUUCCAGAGGGCACUCCACCAGCUCAGCACUGAACCUCUUGUGCCUUUGGGGAUCCUUUAGGACACUUGAGGAAGGCAUCCUUGGGAGAACCAAGAGGUAGAAGGUAAGAGUUCUUCACCUGCAGCUGAAACCAGUGGAAAGAACUGAAGUCCGAGUUCUCUAAAGUACAAGUGUGGUUUAUGUGAGAAAGAGAAUGUCUAUUUUCACUCAGCGAUCUGUUUUCAAAGAAAAGACCAUGACCCUACAUUAAAAGACUGAGUUCUCUUAAACCACCUGAGGUUGACACGGAUGUAUAACAGAGUUGGUGGAAUGGCGUCCAGAAGCAUGCUGCCUAACCUAGCCUGGCAAGGGAGCUGAUGGCCCCUCGACAGUAAGAGCCAGAGCACACUGCCUCACCUGGAAGCCUCAGUGAAGGCUGCCAGGGCCCAGACACACUGCACGUACCAUUGUCUGCACUCACAAGAUGGGCAGCACCCUGCCUGUGACCCCAGGGAGCCAGUGCCAGACAAGGUGACCUUCACCAUGACUGCCACAGAAAACCAACUCCUUCCCUGCUGGCCAGCAAAAAUGACAGCCUAUUCUAUUUUCUGUCUCUAUGAAUUUGACUACUUUAGUUGCUUUAUCUAAGUGGAGUAAUAUAGUAUUUAUCCUUCUGCUUCUGCUUCUGCUUCUGCUUCAAAAAUGACAGGUAGAAACUUCAUUUCUACCUCUAAUGCUGUGAGAGCACCCCUGGAACCCCAGGUGCAUGAGCACCUAAGCAAUGCAAGUGUUAACCUCUCAGCCCCUGCCUUCUGGGGAAGAGAGUGGAGGCUCAUGUGCAUCCAUCCUAUUCACCUUCGCUGAAUUCUAGAAGCCAUGCAGAGGUGCUGCCCAACUGGAGACUGCACCCUCCUAUGUGGAUCCCAGUGUAAUUUCCAAGAGGGAGUGCUCAGUCGAGAGAAUCUACCCAAAUGAGGAUGUGCUCCAGAUGUACAAUACACGUCGGACCCCAAAGACUUUUGUACAAAACAAUGUGAAAAAUCUCACCAAUAAUAUUUACAUUAUGUGCACGAUUUUGUUGCUGUUGUUCAGUCACUGAGUCAUGUCCGAUU